UACGGAGGAUCCGAGCGUUAUCCGGAUUUAUUGGGUUUAAAGGGUGCGCAGGCGGAAGAUUAAGUCGGUGGUGAAAUUUUGCAGCUCAACUGUAAAAGUGCCUUCGAAACUGGUUUCCUUGAGUGUAGAUGAAGUAGGCGGAAUUUGUGGUGUAGCGGUGAAAUGCUUAGAUAUCACGAGGAACUCCGAUUGCGCAGGCAGCUUACUAAACUACUACUGACGCUCAGGCACGAAGGCGUGGGGAUCAAACAGGAUUAGAUACCCCCGUAGUCCCU
rnacentral:rRNA from 1 species